GGAUGUGAGGGCGAUCUGGUUGCGACAUCUGUCACCCCAUUGAUCGCCAGGGUUGAUUCGGCUGAUCUGGCUGGCUAGGCGGGUGUCCCCUUCCUCCCUCACCGCUCCAUGUGCGUCCCUCCCGAAGCUGCACGCUCGGUCAAAGAGGACAACCAUCCCCGCUAGAGGAGGACCGGUCUUCGGUCAAGGGUAUACGAGUAGCUGCGCUCCCCUGCUAGAACCUCCAAAAAAGAAAAAAAAAAAUAAACAAACUGUGUGUGUGACUUGAGACCUUACAUAUUAAAAUCUGAUCACUGGGUAAGAUAUAAUGCUUU
ensembl:misc_RNA 7SK 7SK RNA